rnacentral:lncRNA from 1 species
AGCACAUCCAAACCUGAGACAACAGCUUUGCUAAGUGCCCUUGAGAGGGCACGGUGGGGUCAGCACCAAAGCCAGACCACUAAAGAGAAAAAGAAAGAAAGACAGGAUUGCAGAGGAGUAAUGAGAAUGGCAGAAAAAAUAAUUUUUUAAGCCAAAAGGAAUCAGAGAAGAGCAGAAGUGCCUCUAGGAUAAAGCGUAGCAGGCAGUUAGGGAAAACGGGCUGUUAACUAACUUGAAUCUCUGACUACGUUAGAAAGCCUCGCAAGACAGUCGUUGCUUGCACGGGCAGGUAGAGAACUUUUCCUGUCCAUUGUUCUUCUGAAUUAUAAAUCACUGACCUCUUUAUGAUUUCCAAAGGGAAAAUGACUUCAAGCUUCUUAGAGUUCCCCUAAGGCAUUCUCUAUAUUCAAUAUAAUAUGGGAAGCCCUGGGUUUGUCUUUGUAUGUUUCAUCUGCAGUGACCUGAAAUCUUCAUAACCCUCUUCCUUUCUCUACUUAUCAAGUAAGGGGUGGUUGGCAAUAAGGAUGGGUGGGAGAGAAAAAAACCCAGAAUUUGAGGAGGAGAGCAUUUAAACCAUCAGACUGUGUGUUCUGUGACAUCAAAGACUGGCAACAUUCUAAAGGAGAAGCAGCUGUGAAGUCAUAAUUAUGUUCACUUCCCACUGGCAACUGGCAAGCCCUUUAUUUUUGUGCAUUCGGAACUCACCAAGAAUAAAUAAAGUCCAUUCCCUCCUUGA